rnacentral:piRNA from 1 species
UCUCGGAGCUGCUGUCCAACCUGUACUCGCGU